rnacentral:lncRNA from 1 species
CCGAGAUUGCGGGGCGGCGCGUGCGCAGAGGCGCCUGGGCGGGUCGCGGGUCGUUCUGCGCUUGCGCGCGUCUCGGGCCGAGGGCCGCCGGGUGGGUGAGGGUGUGCACCGGUCCUCGGCUGGGCGAGCGAGAGCGGCGCUGGGAGGCCCCGGCCCCGCGGACCGGAGGCUGGAGAGACAAGGCACUGUUGCGUAGUGUCGGUCUCGGAACCGGUCCUCAGACUCAUGACUCAGACUGACCCUCUGGUGGGAAGCGGGCGCUGGUCUCCAGGCUUGCCCCGUAAGACACCGCGUUUGCCGAGGUUGUUUGCUCGGUGUCGCGGGGCGCGCGGAGGGCGCCGGGUCUGGCAGCUGCUCAGCCCGAGAGGAUGGAAGCUGGAGAACACGGG